GGGUCAUAUGGCCAGCAUGACUAAGCCGCUUCUGGUGAAACCAGAGCAGCACACAGAAACGCCAUUUACCUUCCCGCUGGAGCGGUACCUAUUUAUCUACUUGCACUUUGACGUGCUUUCGAACUGCUAGGUUGGCAGGAGCAGGGACUGAGCAACAGGAGCUCACCCAGUCGCAGGGAUUCGAACCACCAACCUUCCGAUCGGCAAGCCCUAGGCUCAGUGGUUUAGACCACAGUGCCACCCGUGUCACCAUGCCACCUGGUGGUAUGACUUGAUAAAAGGCUGUUUCCUAGCUAAGGGUUGGAAGGUUAUAUCUGCCAAAGGUUAUAAUCCCUCUUGGUUUCUUUGAAAUUCUUUAGAAAAUGCAAUUGACAAUCCAUUCUCACCUAGUAAUAAUUAAAUAAAUGUGGUGAAGAUUUUGCUAGGGCUGAAGAACGAUUCCUCUCAUUUUUUGUGCUUGAGUUUUAAAGUUGAGCAAUUCAAGGCUGCUGUUUUGUCAAAAGGAUCUCGCUUCCUCUCCUCUGUUCUGGGUAGAUUAUAGCCAUAAAAUGUACAGGGAAGAAUGGGAAAAUACCCCCAGCCAAACUUGCUUUCAUUGUCCCAGUCACAUUUUUUAUAUUUGCUGUAAGCCAUGUGCUCUUCUGGGAGAGGGAGGGGAGAAAAAGCAUUUGCAAGAUAAGUAAAGGGAAAAUGUAAUCCCUGGGUGGAAUGAAGGGUGCUUUGAAAUGAAUGGGGGAUAAUCCUUUUUGUUGUCGGUUACAAAUGCACUUUAUUUCUGCAUUAUCUGAGCGGUAGAAUACCCUGUUCACCGAAUCUGUCGCAGCGUUUUCUCUUUGGUAUUUUACAAAACUCAAGUAACAUAACAGUGUUAUGGACCUGUGAACUCCUCAUUGGUAUGACGCCAAGAGGGUCCUUUCAUUUCUUUUUAAAAAUAAACAAACUAGUGAAAUGGAUUGCAGCCAUAACCAGGAAAAUAAGCAGAGAGAAGACAGGUGAACCACAUUUAUUGUAUUUGUCUACAAAGAUCUUCAGGGUGACAAAUCUGUGUGGGUGUAAUAAAAUUCUGUUAACUCAGCCAGACUUGUCUAUGUCCCAGGACAGUGGUAAGAUUUGCUCCUUCCCAUAGUGCCAUCCUUUCUGGUGGGUAGGGAUGCUUUGCCGAUUUAUCCUCUCUUGGGGCCCCCACAACUCCAAGCAGGUGGUAAAAGUUAGCCCCAGUGCCAAUCCUUACCCUUCUAACAGGCCUCCUAGCCCAGAAACCAAAUCUUCUGACAAAUCUUUCACUGUAAAAAUUGCCUAAUGGUCUUCAACUUAACUGUAACCUGCCAAAAUGUACUCAGAUAAACCUCAUGAAAGGUUGUUACUACUAAGGAUGCUCACCAACCCCCAACAAUUUAGCGCUCUGUAGGUGAAAGACUAGCCAGUUGUGACAAUCUCAGAGAUAGGUUAAAAAAAAAAAUCAUCCCUACUCCUCUCCAAAGGCAACUGGCUAACACUGCAUUGCAUAAAGGAAGGGAAGGGUACAAAAACUGCUAUGACACCAGAGCUGGUUGGGGGACAUUCUCUCGCUGAUGGGACAGAUCAUUAUUUCCCCACCCCUGGAGGGCCAAAUUUGUCAGGUGGGAUUGUACUCCACUCAACCAGUUAGCAAGCAGAGAGUGCAAUCCUGUUGACUGCAAGGGGUCUGCUUUGCCAGCAUUUUCCCCAGGGCAAAUGUACUGAGAAAACAGACACCAGCAAGUCUGAAUAAUGUCUUCCAGCCCAUCAGUUGACUUUACUCAGUGAUCUCAGCUGAUGGACAGGUAGGCAUGGUUUGGGGGAAAAGGCCUUGCAGGCCCCCUUGUAGGCCAAGACUGACACAUGGGCUGGAAGUUCCCCACCCCUAAACAAAGACAGCCCAUGCCUCUGAUAGUACUGUACCAUAUGCCUUAUCUGCCAACUUCAGUUGCCCUUCCUACUCUUCCCCAGAAGAGCCGAAAAGCGGGCCCCUGCCCAACCCCAUCAGGAGAAGCCACGGAAUGCAAUUGAUGUUAUGAUACGUGAUGUGGGCAAGGGCAGCAAAAAUAAAACAGGAGGGUGUGUUGGGUUGAAAUGAGCGACAGACGAAUGGCAAGGUGUCAUACGGGAGGCAUCUCCCGAGCAAGUCUCGGACAGUCCCUUUUAUUGAAUAUUACAGCAUUUGCCACAUAUGUGCUUAUUGCUGAUUGGUUAACACAAGUACAAAGCAAAGGUUACAUAUUACAUUAAUCACCAAUAGAUUAAAGGUUGGGAAAGGGAGCACAGAACUAGACAGGCAUGAAACCUCCUAAUUAAAUUAUAACUAGUGAUUGAUUAUCAAGACUUAAACGAUUACUAAUGAUUGAUUUUUGCAUGACAUGAAAGAACAUAACAAUCGCGUUCCGUAGAUGUGGUCAACUAUGCAUUAAGAACAGGUCAGAGUAUAAUGUUUUCAUGAACUCAAUAUGAACUGAACAUUCUAGGGUGAUGAGGGAAUGUCUUGGUAUUAGAACGGUUUGUGCAGCAUGUGCAGAAGAAAAGCUUAGAAGCAAAACUUCCCAUCAUGCCACAGUCAUGUGCAGAAGCAAAGCUUCCCUUCAAGGGUGGGGCACAGAAAGCUGAAAUAAUUCCAAAGGAGAAAUUAUGGUAGUUCUCAAAAGUUCCAGCCAACUGUUAACAUUUAUUAUAGCUCAGUGUGUUUCAGAAACGACAUAAAGAUAAUUAAAAAUGGGUAGAAACUUUUGACAUCUAAGUGAAAUACUAUAUAAACUGCUUGAAAUAUUUGAGACAUCAGUUAUGACUAGUCUUCCCUCAACCUAGUGACCUGCAGAUGUUUUGGAUAUUUCACCAUAAAAUUGUUUUGGGGCAGAAAGUGAUAGGUAGAGGAGAAAGGGAGGGCGGGAGGAGAUUAACAGUCAAAAGUUUUUUUGCUUGGAUUCCCAGAAGAUAUAUCAUCUUCACCACUGUUGUGGGAGCAUUUGAUUUGAUGUUUGAAAAGCUGUUUGAUAGCUUUUCACAAGUUGAGCAUCGUUAAGCAGGCUUGAUUGUCAAGAAAUAAAAAAGGGUGACAGAAGGAAGCAGCUUCAUGGUGUGAACCCUAGGAACAACUUCAGAGAGUCUGCAGGCGCUAAAAAGGAAGUUCUGUUUUUCAAACUUCAACCAUCUCAAGAGGAUCCGAUUUUGCAUGACACCAACUCACAUGUCUUAAAAGUAAGGGCCAUGCUAUAGUAAUUUUUUUUCAGAUCCUCUCUCCAAAGCAGGUGUUAGAUAAUUCAGUAAUUAGUAUGCACAUCUAACUCCAUCACAGCCUCUGUUGAUCUCUCAAUUAUAGUUAGCUGGGUCCUCUGCCAUUUGCGGUAGUUAAUUAGAGCAUUAUUGAACAGCCAGGCUUUGCAGCCAAGCUUUGCAAUCAACUGACAGCUCAGUCCUGUGUACUUAGAAACAGUUUAGUCCUUGACCUGUGCAUAUCAGGUUUGAAUUGCAGAUCCUAGAGGGAGCGACUCACAUCUCUCCCUGCAAAAUAAACCCAAAAUGUAAUGCUUCCAUGAAGAAAGAGCAAGAGUAUAUUUUUUGAAAGCAAUUUUCAGGGCAAUCCCAUUGGAUGCUUUCAUCCUUGACUUUGCAAGAUGCAUCACAUGCUUAAGAAGACGAGGCAGCAUGAAUGUUAAAAAGCAAUGUGAAAAUGGCAGCUUAACCUGGUCUCUUUGGGCCUGGAAAACUUAUUCACUUGGCAUGAUCUGCAUCACACAUUGAAGGUGAUUUCCAACACUGGAUAUGCCCACAGAAGACCUAUUGAAGUCAGUAGACUUAAGUGUAAUAAUUUCAGUGGACCCACUCUGUGUAGGACUACGGAUUGCACCCAGUUCUAAUCCUACCAGAGGAAAUGCAUUGAAAUUAAUGGACUUGACCAACUUAGCUUCAUUAAUCUUCAUGGGUCUGCUCUGAGUAGAACUCAGUUAGAUGCAACCCUAAUAUUGGCUGUCACUCUAUAUAUAUGUGUGGAAGGGGUCUCCUGGUUGCCAUGGACUGGUUGGAUGCAGAGGAAUGGUGGGAGGCACCAGCUGGGGAACCCCCAGGAGAAGAAGGCUCAGAGCCAGGGGAUUGGUGUUGGGACAACAAUGAGUGGUCAGAGGGAGAAGAGAGAGAAGGCUGGAAGGAGGAGGUGUCAGAAGCUGGAGGGGCAACAGGGGUUAGUGAGCAGGAAGAGUCUGUGUCAGAGUGGGGUGCAGACUCUGAGGCUGAAGCAGAAGCUGGAGAGAAAGGGGGUCAAGAGGCUGCUGCAGAAUCCAAGGAGUCUCCCCCACCUGCUGUGACCAGCUCCCCUCCCCCCGGUCUCC